GACGAACGCUGGCGGCGUGCUUAACACAUGCAAGUCGAACGGAAAGGCCCUGCUUUUGUGGGGUGCUCGAGUGGCGAACGGGUGAGUAACACGUGAGUAACCUGCCCUUGACUUUGGGAUAACUUCAGGAAACUGGGGCUAAUACCGGAUAGGAGCUCCUGCUGCAUGGUGGGGGUUGGAAAGUUUCGGCGGUUGGGUAUGGACUCGCGGCUUAUCAGCUUGUUGGUGGGGUAGUGGCUUACCAAGGCUUUGACGGGUAGCCGGCCUGAGAGGGUGACCGGCCACAGUGGGCUUGGGGUAGGGCCCGGAGUCAUACGGGGGGCAGGGGGGGGAAAUUUGGCAAAGGGGGCGGAGGGCGGGUGGAGAACCGCCGGGGGGGGGAAGGCGGCCUUGGGGUGGGAAACCGCUUUGGCCUGGAACGAGGGGGGAGGGAGGGAAAUGGGGAAAAAAGCCCCGGUAAAUAAGUG
rnacentral:rRNA from 1 species